CUGCUUCCACCACCUGCGUUUAGUGCCUGGGUUUUUCAGUUCCCAAAGAUCAGGGGCAGCUGAGCACGGAGCAGAUCCAGGAGCGGCGGAAAGAGCGGGUGUUGUUUUUGUAGCCGGGAGGCCUGGUUUUUGUCGGUGUGAGGAGGUACCCAGGUGUUUUAACGAAGCCCCCAGUGCAGGCCUGGCCCGCUGGCUGGAGUGGAUUUCUAUUCUCAUUUGCCAAACUACACUUUCAAGACGUGUCAGAUAUCGAAAACCUUCUCUCCCCCACCCCUCCCGGAGCCAAAGCAAGCGUCUGGGGGAGGAGAGGUAAGGAGGGGCUGGAGACGGUAGGAGAAGAUGCAAGUUGAAUGAAAGGAAAAAGCAGAAGCAACAAGAAACGUUCUUUCACAUGGUGUUCCAAGUUGGCUGUUUCUUUUUAAAGUCACUGGUUAAGCUGUGCAGAAAGCCAGGAGACAGAACUGGCAGCAUCCACAGCCCACUGUCCUCAGAGGCCCGACCACAGGCUCCGCACUGGGGGGUGCAUCUUAGCUUAGGGCUGGGCUGCCUCCUGUGUCCAGCUCAGACCUGGUGGGAGGCAGUGACAGGGAAGAGGGCUGGUGGGCCCAAACCUUUCCCCAUUCCUGCCUACUCCCCAUCCCAGCCGAUCUCCAAAAUGCUUGAAGUUGCUGUGCCCCGGUUAGGUUUUUAACACGUGUUCCUUAUCACCAAGCCACACAGCAACAACCACGUCAAUGAUUGAACAUGCGUCAGGUGGACGUCCCUCAAACAGGCGAGGACUCCAAAGACAUUCCACUGGAAAGCUCCAGCCCCUUCCAGAGACGCUGCCAUCGUGCCGAGGCCUUGAGGCAUCUCGUUUUGGAAUCUCCUUCAGAGUCCAUUUGUGUGGGCCACAUGGAAAACAAAAUAAACCACCCCACCCCGCCUCGCUAUUGACCAAAAACUUCUAUUACCCAGUUUGAUUACUCACCUAAUUCCCCAGGAUUGGCCUCAGAUGGCUUUCGAUUACUUCUAAAUAUCAGACUGACCAACGUGAGAACCAGCAACCUCGGCGGGGCAUUCCCAAGAAUGCUGAGCCGGCUCUGGGAGCGGUCCAGAAGAAUGGAGGCCCCGGGCGGGGCUGGAGGGUGAGGCCGGUGUGGAGGGUGUGGAGCUGAGCCUGGAAG